rnacentral:rRNA from 1 species
AUUGAACGCUGGCGGCAGGCCUAACACAUGCAAGUCGAGCGGAUGAAGGGAGCUUGCUCCUGGAUUCAGCGGCGGACGGGUGAGUAAUGCCUAGGAAUCUGCCUGGUAGUGGGGGAUAAUGUCCGGAAACGGGCGCUAAUACCGCAUACGUCCUUAGGGAGAAAGUGGGGGAUCUUCGGACCUCACGCUAUCAGAUGAGCCUAGGUCGGAUUAGCUAGUUGGUGGGGUAAAGGCCUACCAAGGCGACGAUCCGUAACUGGUCUGAGAGGAUGAUCAGUCACACUGGAACUGAGACACGGUCCAGACUCCUACGGGAGGCAGCAGUGGGGAAUAUUGGACAAUGGGCGAAAGCCUGAUCCAGCCAUGCCGCGUGUGUGAAGAAGGUCUUCGGAUUGUAAAGCACUUUAAGUUGGGAGGAAGGGCAGUAAGUUAAUACCUUGCUGUUUUGACGUUACCAACAGAAUAAGCACCGGCUAACUUCGUG